AGGUACCUGACGGAAUGGAGAGAGUGUGUGUUACCCCACGAAUGGAAUAAAAUUCCUCUUCAGAAUGGAAUGGAGUAUAUAACAGUCAAGGAAGUAUUAAUGACUUGUUAAUUAACUAAUUAAGGCUAUGGUUUACCUCCCUGGUCCAAAGUACCGUCAUCACUACUAAGACAUUGCAGGUCUUGACUGCUCUCUUCCUAUCCUCCACUGCUCCCUCUUCAGUCCCUUCCCACAACCCCACAGCAUGGAAAAGUGAUUCAACGUUUUGAUGGAUGUUUCUUCCUUUUUUGUUUUUGUUUUCUAGUUCCAGGACACAGAGACACAGUUCUAGUCUCCAAAGCCACAGAGAAACCCUGACUCAACCUCCCCUUCGCCCCUACCCCCAAAACAAUCAGGGUGUUGAGCCGAGUGUGGUGAUGCACACCUUUGAUCCUAGCACUCAAGGCAGAGAGAGGCAUUUGCAUCUCUGAGAGUGAAGCCAGCCAGGUCUAAAGAGUGAGUUCCAGGAUAGCCAGAGCUACACAGAGACUCUGUCUUGAAAAAACCAAAAACUAAAAGAAAAGAAAUCAGAUUAUUUUAUUUCCUUUUUCUGUUUAAGAUAUUUUAAUAGCCCUGGGGUUACAGCUCUGUAGUAGAGUGCUUGUCCCAGGCUCUGGUCAUUCCUAGGAACACAUACAAACCCAGGGCCUGGAGAGAUGGCUCAGAUGUUAAGAAAACUGACCGUUCUUUCAGAGGACCUGAGUUCGAUUCCUAGUACCCACAAAAAGGUUUACAACAAUUUGUCACUCCAGCUGCAGAUCCAAUACCCUAGUUUGGCCUCCACAGUCACUAUACCAUGUUUGUGGUACAGAGAUAUACAUGAAGGCAAAACACUCAUGCACAUAAAUCUAACAAAAUAAAACAAAGUCCCCCUAAACCUGAUAGCUUCUCUUUUCAGUAAGAACAAGAGCCUAAUGCCAUGCAUAGUUUCUCCAGCCACACUGAGCUCCUCACUGUCUAUUCUAUAGAAAUACUAAAAUGGGCUCUGCUUCAACACACUGGCUAUCUAUGCUUCCUCCCUCUUCCAGGUCUCUUUGAGGCUUCUGCGAUCCUGCUGCACAAACAAACUAUUCACUUGUCCUUUAACUUCCUUGCUUUAUUUUUCUUCUUACAAUGUUUUAUCAUUGUUAACAUUUAUUUUUUUGAGACAGGGUCUCUAUGUAGCCCUGGCUACCUGGAACUUACUAGAUAGAUCCAACUGGCUUUAAACUCACAGAGAUCCACUUGCCUCUCUCUACCUUUCAAGUGCUGGGAUUAAAGGCAAGAGCCACUACACCACGUUUUGGAUCAGCUUGGGAUUGGAGGGAUGGUUCAGUGAUUAAGAGUGCUUACUUCUCUUUCUGAGGACUCAGGUUGGGGUUUAAGUCCCCAAGUCAGGCUGUUCACAACCACCUGUAACUCCAGUUCCAGGGGAUCUGAUGUCCUCUUCUGGUUUCCAUGGACUCUUGCAUGAUUGUGGUGCACAUAAACUCACACAGGCAAACAC
rnacentral:lncRNA from 1 species